rnacentral:rRNA from 1 species
AACGAACGCUGGCGGCAUGCCUAACACAUGCAAGUCGAACGAGAUCUUCGGGUCUAGUGGCGCACGGGUGCGUAACGCGUGGGAGUCUGCCCUUUGGUUCGGAAUAACAGUUGGAAACGACUGCUAAUACCGGAUGAUGACGAAAGUCCAAAGAUUUAUCGCCAGAGGAUGAGCCCGCGUAGGAUUAGCUAGUUGGUGUGGUAAAGGCGCACCAAGGCGACGAUCCUUAGCUGGUCUGAGAGGAUGAUCAGCCACACUGGGACUGAGACACGGCCCAGACUCCUACGGGAGGCAGCAGUGGGGAAUAUUGGACACUGGGCGAAAGCCUGAUCCAGCAAUGCCGCGUGAGUGAUGAAGGCCUUAGGGUUGUAAAGCUCUUUUACCCGGGAUGAUAAUGACAGUACCGGGAGAAUAAGCUCCGGCUAACUCCGUGCCAGCCGCCGCGGUAA